AGAGUUUGAUCCUGGCUCAGAAUCAACGCUGGCGGCGUGCCUAACACAUGCAAGUCGAACGAGAAAGUUGUCUUCGGAUGACGAGUAAAGUGGCAAACGGGUGAGUAACGCGUGGGACAUCUACCCUGAUGAGGGGAAUAACUCUCCGAAAGGAGAGCUAAUACCGCAUAUUCCGGUUUACCAGGAAAGGCCUUCGGGUCGCAUCAGGAGGAGCCCGCGUCCGAUUAGCUAGUUGGUGAGGUAAUGGCUCACCAAGGCGACGAUCGGUAGCCGGUCUGAGAGGACGGACGGCCACACUGGGACUGAGACACGGCCCAGACUCCUACGGGAGGCAGCAGUGGGGAAUUUUGGGCAAUGGGCGAAAGCCUGACCCAGCAACGCCGCGUGGAGGUAGAAGGUUUUCGGAUCGUAAACUCCUGUCCCAUGAGACGAAAAAGAUGACGGUAUCAUGGGAGGAAGCCCCGGCUAACUCCGUGCCAGCAGCCGCGGUAAUACGGGGGGGGCAAGCGUUGUUCGGAAUUACUGGGCGUAAAGGGCGCGUAGGCGGCUUCGGAAGUCAAGGGUGAAAGCCCCGAGCUCAACUCGGGAACUGCCUUUGAAACCACGGAGCUAGAGUGUUGGAGAGGAAAGCGGAAUUUCCAGUGUAGCGGUGAAAUGCGUAGAUAUUGGAAGGAACAUCCGAGGCGAAGGCGGCUUUCUGGACACACACUGACGCUGAGGCGCGAAAGCUAGGGGAGCGAACGGGAUUAGAUACCCCGGUAGUCCUAGCUGUAAACGAUGAACACUUGGUGUGGGGGGUAUAAAGUCCCUCCGUGCCGUAGAUAACUCGAUAAGUGUUCCGCCUGGGGAGUACGGCCGCAAGGCUGAAACUCAAAGGAAUUGACGGGGGCCCGCACAAGCGGUGGAGCAUGUGGUUUAAUUCGACGCAACGCGAAGAACCUUACCGGGGUUUGAACUGUACCUGCGACAUCCAGAGAUGGAUGGUUUCCUUAGGGAACUGGUAUAGAGGUGCUGCAUGGCUGUCGUCAGCUCGUGUCGUGAGAUGUUGGGUUAAGUCCCGCAACGAGCGCAACCCUUGUCUGUAGUUGCCAUCAGGUUAAGCUGGGCACUCUACGGAGACUGUCGGCGAUAAGCCGGAGGAAGGUGGGGAUGACGUCAAGUCCUCAUGGCCUUUAUGUCCCGGGCUACACACGUGCUACAAUGGAUGGAACAGAGGGCUGCAAGCCUGCGAAGGCAAGCGAAUCCCAAAAAUCCAUUCUCAGUUCGGAUUGCAGUCUGCAACUCGACUGCAUGAAGUUGGAAUCGCUAGUAAUCGCGGAUCAGAACGCCGCGGUGAAUACGUUCCCGGGCCUUGUACACACCGCCCGUCACAUCACGAAAGUGGGCUGUACUAGAAGCCGCUGGCCCAACCUCUUCGGAGGAGGGAGGCGUCGACGGUAUGGUUCAUGAUUGGGGUGAAGUCGGAACAAGGUA
rnacentral:rRNA from 1 species